AUUGAACGCUGGCGGCAGGCCUAACACAUGCAAGUCGAACGAAUGGCGGACGGGUGAGUAGUGUCUGGGAAACUGCCUGAUGUAGGGGGAUAACUACUGGAACCGGUAGCUACUACCGCAUACCAUCGGAUGUGCCCAGAUGGGAUUAGCUAGUAGGGGGGGUAAAGGCUGACCAAGGCGACGAUCCAUAGCUGGUCUGAGAGGAUGACCAGCCACACUGGGACUGAGACACGGCCCAGACUCCUACGGGAGGCAGCAGUGGGGAAUCUUCGACAAUGGGCGAAAGCCUGAUGCAGCAACGCCGCGUGUAUGAAGAAGGUUUUCGGGUUGUAAAGUACUUUCAGCGGGGAGGCGUUAUCUACAGAGGAAGCACCGGCUAACUCCGUGCCAGCAGCCGCGGUAAUUC
rnacentral:rRNA from 1 species